rnacentral:tRNA from 1 species
GGGGGAGUAGCUCAGUGGGAAGAGCGCAGCGAACUUGCAUUCUGUGUUUGAACCUAGAACUCUACAUCAGCGUGCCCGGUUCCUAAGGUCAUGGGUUCGAAUCCCAUCUCUCCUA